GUUAGUGAAACUAAAGAUGUUGCUGAGAAAAAGCCUCAAAAUAGAGAUGAUUGGUCCUGUACUUUCUGUACAUACCUGAACCCUUCUAGCAGUUGGAAGUGCAGGAUGUGCUACAAAGGUCGCAAAAAUACCACCGAACCGUUAACAUUCCGAGAAAUUGAUCAAACAAUAAAGGAGAACGAUUCUGAUUUUGUCACAGAAAUUAAGGGUGAUGCUGAGGAGUCGCCAAAUGGAGAUGAUUGGUUAUGUACUAGCUGCAGUUGGAGAUGCGGGAUGUGCCACAAGAGACGCAAACAUACCGAUUAAUCUGUAACAUUCCAUGGAAUGGACCAGAAAAUGGGGAAAUUUAUAUUGGAAUCUGGUAAU